UACUACCGAAGCUACGGCAUCAGUAAUGAUGGGUAGGGGAGCUUCCCAUACGGGUUGAAGCAUGACCGUAAGGACAUGGGGACAGUAUGGGAGUGAGAAUGUUGGCAUGAGUAGCGAGAUGUGGGUGGGAAUCCCACAGGCCGUAAACCCAAGGUUUCCAGGGGAAGGUUCGUCCGCCCUGGGUUAGUCGGGACCUAAGCUGAGGC
rnacentral:rRNA from 1 species